GGAUAAACGCUGACAGAAUGCUUAACACAUGCAAGUCGAUGAGCUAAGUAAGCUUGCUUACAAGGCACAUGGCGGACGGGUGAGUAACGCGUAAAGAACUUACCCACUAGACUGGGAUAACAGAGAGAAAUUUCUGAUAAAACCGGAUAAGUUAGUAGUAGGCAUCUACUGCAAAUGAAAAAGAGAUUACUAGUGGAGAGCUUUGCGUCCUAUUAGCUAGUUGGUGGGGUAAAGGCCUACCAAGGCGAUGAUAGGUAGCCGGCCUGAGAGGGUGAACGGCCACAAGGGGACUGAGAUACGGCCCUUACUCCUACGGGAGGCAGCAGUGGGGAAUAUUGGACAAUGGAGGUAACUCUGAUCCAGCAAUUCUGUGUGUGCGAUGACGGUCUUCGGAUUGUAAAGCACUUUUAGUUGGGAAGAAAAAAAUGACGGUACCAACAGAAGAAGCGACGGCUAAAUACGUGCCAGCAGCCGCGGUAAUACGUAUGUCGCUAGCGUUAUCCGGAAUUAUUGGGCUUAAAGGGCAUCUAGGCGGCAAAACAAGUUGAAGGUGAAAAGCUGUGGCUCAACCAUAGUCUUGCCUACAAAACUGUAAUGCUAGAGUACUGGAAAGGUGGGUGGAACUACACGAGUAGAGGUGAAAUUCGUAGAUAUGUGUAGGAAUGCCGAUGAUGAAGAUAACUCACUGGACAGAAACUGACGCUGAAGUGCGAAAGCUAGGGGAGCAAACAGGAUUAGAUACCCUGGUAGUCCUAGCUGUAAACGAUGAUCACUGGGUGUGGGGAGUCAAAUCUCUGUGCCGAAGCAAAAGCGAUAAGUGAUCCGCCUGGGGAGUACGUUCGCAAGAAUGAAACUCAAAGGAAUUGACGGGGGCCCGCACAAGUGGUGGAGCAUGUGGUUUAAUUCGACGCUACGCGAGGAACCUUACCAGAUCUUGACAUCUACGGAAGACAAAGGAGACUUUGUUGUGCCUUAUAGGAACCGUAAGACAGGUGGUGCAUGGCUGUCGACAGCUCGUGUUGUGAGAUGUUGGGUUAAGUCCCGCAACGAGCGAAACCCCUAUCAUUAGUUGCCAUCAUUAAGUUGGGGACUCUAAUGAAACYGCUAGCGAAGAGCUAGAGGAAGGUGGGGAUGACGUCAAGUCAUCAUGCCCCUUAUGAUCUGGGCUACACACGUGCUACAAUGGGUAGUACAAUGAGAAGCAAGAUGGCGACAUUAAGCAAAACUCAAAAGCUACUCUUAGUUCGGAUUGGAGUCUGCAACUCGACUCCAUGAAGUUGGAAUCACUAGUAAUCGUGAAUCAGCAAUAUCACGGUGAAUACGUUCUCGGGCCUUGUACACACCGCCCGUCACACCACGAGAGUUGUUUGCACCUGAAGUUACUGGCCUAACUGUAAAGAGGGAAGUACCUAAGGUGUGAAUAGUGAUUGGGGUGAAGUCGUAACAAGGUAUCCGUACCGGAAGGUGCGGAUGGAUCACCUCCUUUCU
rnacentral:rRNA from 1 species